GUGCUCACUUUGGGAAAAUAAACACUGAAAUUGGAACCAUACAGAGAAGAUUAGCAUGGCCCAUGAGCAAGAAAGACAUGCAAAUUCAUGAAGCAUUCUUUUUUUUU
ensembl:snRNA U6 U6 spliceosomal RNA